rnacentral:rRNA from 1 species
UAGGGAAUCUUCCGCAAUGGGCGAAAGCCUGACGGAGCAACGCCGCGUGAGUGAUGAAGGUCUUCGGAUCGUAAAACUCUGUUAUUAGGGAAGAACAUACGUGUAAGUAACUAUGCACGUCUUGACGGUACCUAAUCAGAAAGCCACGGCUAACUACGUGCCAGCAGCCGCGGUAAUACGUAGGUGGCAAGCGUUAUCCGGAAUUAUUGGGCGUAAAGCGCGCGUAGGCGGUUUUUUAAGUCUGAUGUGAAAGCCCACGGCUCAACCGUGGAGGGUCAUUGGAAACUGGAAAACUUGAGUGCAGAAGAGGAAAGUGGAAUUCCAUGUGUAGCGGUGAAAUGCGCAGAGAUAUGGAGGAACACCAGUGGCGAAGGCGACUUUCUGGUCUGUAACUGACGCUGAUGUGCGAAAGCGUGGGGAUCAGACA